rnacentral:rRNA from 1 species
AUUGAACGCUGGCGGCAGGCCUAACACAUGCAAGUCGAGCGGAUGAAGGGAGCUUGCUCCUGGAUUCAGCGGCGGACGGGUGAGUAAUGCCUAGGAAUCUGCCUGGUAGUGGGGGAUAACGGCCGGAAACGGGCGCUAAUACCGCAUACGUCCUGAGGGGGAAAGUGGGGGAUCUUCGGAACUCACGCUAUCAGAUGAGCCUAGGUCGGAUUAGCUAGUUGGUGGGGUAAAGGCCUACCAAGGCGACGAUCCGUAACUGGUCUGAGAGGAUGAUCAGUCACACUGGAACUGAGACACGGUCCAGACUCCUACGGGAGGCAGCAGUGGGGAAUAUUGGACAAUGGGCGAAAGCCUGAUCCAGCCAUGCCGCGUGUGUGAAGAAGGUCUUCGGAUUGUAAAGCACUUUAAGUUGGGAGGAAGGGCAGUAAGUUAAUACCUUGCUGUUUUGACGUUACCAACAGAAUAAGCACCGGCUAACUUCGUG